GAUGAAGAACGUAGUGAAACGCGAUACGUAAUGUGAAUUGCAGAAUUCAGUGAAUCAUCGAAUCUUUGAACGCACAUUGCGCCCGCCAGUAUUCUGGCGGGCAUGCCUGUUCGAGCGUCAUUUCAACCAUCAAGCCCUGCUUGCGUUGGGGUCCUGCGGCUGCCCGCAGGCCCUGAAAACCAGUGGCGGGCUCGCUAGUCACACCGAGCGCAGUAAUACAUCUCGCUUUGGGCGUGCGGCGGGUUCUUGCCGUUAAACACCCCCUUUUUACCAAGGUUGACCUCGGAUCAGGUAGGAAUACCCGCUGAACUUAAGCAUAUCAAUAAGCGGAGGA
rnacentral:misc_RNA from 1 species